rnacentral:rRNA from 1 species
CCUACGGGAGGCAGCAGUGGGGAAUAUUGCGCAAUGGGCGAAAGCCUGACGCAGCGACGCCGCGUGAGGGAUGAAGGUCUUCGGAUCGUAAACCUCUGUCAGCAGGGAAGAACGGUCACUGUGCUAAUCAGCAGUGAAUUGCCGGUACCUGCAAAGGAAGCACCGUCUAACUCCGUGCCAGCAGCCGCGGUAAUCCGGAGGGUGCGAGCGUUAAUCGGAAUUUCUGGGCGUAAGGCGCUCGUAGGCGGUAUGUCAAGUCAAGGGUGAAAUCCCCGCGCUCAACGUGGGAACUGCCUUUGAAACGGGCAAACUGGAGUGUGUGAGAGGAUAGUGGAAUUCCAGGUGUAGGAGUGAAAUCCGGAGAUAUCUGGGGGAACAUCAGUGGCGAAGGCGACUAUCUGGCACAUAACUGACGCUGAGGAGCGAAAGCGUGGGUAGCAAACAGGAUUAGAUACCCGAGUAGUC